rnacentral:tRNA from 1 species
GCGGCAGGACCAGUAGGAUUCCGGACGAUCGUCAAAGGACUCAUAAUCCGUCGGCCGUGGGUUCGAGUCCCACCCGCCCCA